rnacentral:rRNA from 1 species
UACGUAGGGUGCAAGCGUUGUCCGGAACUAUUGGGCGUAAAGAGCUCGUAGGCGGUCUGUCGCGUCUGGUGUGAAAAUCCAGGGCUUAACCCUGGACCUGCAUCGGGUACGGGCAGACUAGAGUGCGGUAGGGGAGAUCGGAAUUCCUGGUGUAGCGGUGAAAUGCGCAGAUAUCAGGAGGAACACCGGUGGCGAAGGCGGAUCUCUGGGCCGUAACUGACGCUGAGGAGCGAAAGCAUGGGGAGCGAACAGG